rnacentral:rRNA from 1 species
AUGCAAAGUCAAGAGAAGAUAACACCUGUGAAGCCUGUAGCCUCCAGGCCUUUCUCCAGUUUCACUUCCUUCUCGAAGCUAUUGAAAGACUUCACUGUGACUGGUUCUGCAACAAUCUCCUCUCCAGGAGAGACUGUUAUAGUUAGGCGGCCAAAGGUAACACGUUUCGCACCGCCACCAAGUGAUCUAUCUGCAGGAAUUGCUGCAACCAUGUUACAGGAUGCUGGUUUAGAUACCACACAUGAAAAAAUGGUCAUCGAUCCAGAACAAGUAGUCUCCUGUGACCAGAUGACGGCAUUCCACGAUAUCAACAAGCCAAUUCAUGGUGUGAAAAACCGUCUGUCCUAUGAUGGCUACAAUUGGAGGAAGUAUGGGCAGAAGCAAGUGAAAGGGAGCGAGUUCCCGCGGAGCUACUACAAGUGCACUCACCCAACCUGCCCUGUCAAGAGGAAAGUGGAGACAACCGUAGAUGGCCAAAUUGCGGAAAUUGUGUACAACGGUGAACACAACCAUCCCCAGCCCCAUCCACCAAAAAAGCCAGCGUCAUUGGCAAGUACAGAAGUUGUGGUCCCUGACGCCCAUGGCAGCAAUGAUGCUGGAGCAGAAAGCCAGCUAGGAGGGUGCAACCUCGCUCUUGUUUCAGAUCCUGUUGCCGCGGCAUUCAAAAGCAGCUGUGAUUACGUCGACGAAAUUGGAAGCACUAGUCCGGUCUAUCACUGCAACACAAGCCAAAAGGAGAAGCAAACAAGCAUCACAAAUGGCCUGACUUCUGGUGAGGCUGCUCCUGCAUUCCAGUCUCCAACAGAAUGCAGGUCGUCUGGGGAUGCAGCAUUCCGUUGGCGCAAGUAUGGUCAGAAGGCUGUUAAUGGUAAUUCAUUUCCAAGGAGCUACUACAGAUGCAGCACAGCAAGAUGCAACGCACGCAAGUUUGUGGAGCGUUCAUCGGACAAUUCGCUGGUAACCACAUAUGAGGGAAAGCACAACCAUGUGCAACUUCGAUGA